GAAGCAUGAGUGCGGGUGCGGGUGCGGGGAUACGUGGUGCGGGGAUACGGGAAUUCGGCAAAAAAAAAUAAAUGGGGAUUCGGGUGCGGGGGGAUACGGCAAAAAAAAAAAAAUUAAAAAAUAUAUUUUAUAUAUUUAGAUAUAUAGCUAAUUAACAAAACAGUGGAAUAACAUUCAAAUCCAACCAAAUAGUCAUUAAAUAAGUAAUAUAUUACAUAACUAAAUCAUAACACAAAUCACAGCAUAGUGCCUACUGCUUACCCAUUAAAUAAGCCAGCAACAUCUCAGAAGCCACACAAAAACCCAUCUUUAUACAUAUAUACAAUAGAUACAAGCUGAGGCCACAAAAACGUAAACAAAUUCGCAGCAACUAAACACAACAACGAAAUCACAUAUAUACAUACAAAUAUCAUGUAUGUAUUUGUAUCACGGAAGAUGAUAGAAAGAGGAUGAGAUAGAGGAAGAUGAUAGAUAGAAAUAGGAGUGAAAAAUUACUGAAUCUGCCCUUCCCGCACCCCCUUCCCGCACCCCCGUGUAUCCCCAGAGCAAGUGCAGCGGGAUACGCCACGCGGCGCACCCGGUGCGCACCCAGCCGCACCCAGGCGCACCGCCGCACCCGCACCGCACCCGGUGCGCAGUGCAGCACCUGGGUGCCGCACCCAUGCUUCAUAGCU
rnacentral:lncRNA from 1 species